GUUGCUAGGCAACUAGCUACAGUUACUCAUUAUUGGAUACAAUCAUACCAAAAGGGAGAAUGACGUGAUUUACAACCAAUCACAUUUUAGCUGCUGCUGGCACAUAAUAUGUAUCAUUCGCAUAGAUGUGAAAGGACUAUAUAAAUAUCUAUUAACAUUUAUUACACGUUAUCGUCGUCGUUUCUCAAAACAUCUUAGCCUUAAUUUCCCUGGAAAGCAUAUUGGAAAACUUAAGAUAGUGUCGUAUUAUAAUAGUUUAAAUCUUGUUGUAAGCGAUCAUGAUCGUGAUUAUGAUCUGCGUAGAUACGAAAUUUUUUCCAUAUCUGAGUAAAUUGAAAGGUGUGGAAAACUUGAUUUAAUGCAAGAAGUGAGUAAAGAAAAACUUCACAACCCAUAGCCAGGCUGCCCUGAUAACGUUAGGUAAAACAAAUGUCUUGCGCAGAAGCAUCAACGUGACCCCUGAUUUACACAAUGCUGAUUCGUUUUGGAGACAGUGAAGUAAACAGGUUUAUAGAGUCAUAUACAAAUUAAUUAUGGGGUGACAGGUUUCUUAAAGUAUCUUUCUCGUAGGUUGACUCACUCCUCUACCAUGGAUUUCAAACAGACUACAGCUGUAUUCAUCCUAUUUCUUCUUCAGCAUGUUUUAACUGCAGGCUGGCAGAAUGAGAUCGAUGUAGCGCCUGACGGACAAUAUCGUGGUGAUGGACAGACGGACCCCACGGAGUCCCCGUGUAAAAUUUUCCCCGUCACUGAUGAUCCUUCGACGGCCACCGGAGGAUUCGCCGCCGCCCCGCAGAAACGCACGCCGGUACGCCCACCACCACCACCGUACGUCCCGGUUACGAUUCAGCGUCCCUACGGCGUACUCCUCUACUACCCAGCAAUCUACGGGUUACCACCCGGCAGGAAUGUGCUUUCUGCCGGUGGCCCGUGGUCUUCAGGUCCUAUCGCUGUCCGUGGUUUUGCCGUGUUCCCUACAAGCUGGAUUUCCGGACCAGUUAGUAAGUUAGGGAUCUCCAAGUCAUCAGAGGAAAACACAGGGUGAUCCUCAAAAGCAGGGUGUACCAGAGAUUCUUUAACAGGGCACGAUUUUUAAAUAUGCAUUAAAAAAAAUCAUGGAUUAUGCAAGUUAGAUUAGAAUUAGUAUAGGCCCUUACUCUGUGUGUUGUCGGGCAAAUUUACUUUGUAAGCAGCAAUAAAUGCCUUGAUCGUAUCCGCAGCGUCCAUGGACAAUAAA